GCCUGUUAGCAGGCUAGGGUCCUGGUGAUGAGGUUGAAAGUAAAUCCUAAAGAAGAGGAAUCAAGGUCUUGGGCCAUAACUUAUUSCAGAGCUAAACUAAGAAAGRAUUGGUUGAAUUUCAUUGGAAUUACCUAGUAAUGGUUCUAACCUUGAGAUAACUGGAUAUCAUCAAGAUAUACCAUAUACAUGUYGUCUAUUGUCUGAUAAACGUAUUCUGCACUGCAAGUAGACAAAGUGGACUUCAAAACUGUAUAUAUAUGCUUGGGUACAUUGUCUACUGCUAAGAACUAACUUACCUCUACAUGAGUCUAUCACUGUACAAUAUUCAUUGGUCAUUUGUUGGAGAAACAGAGUAUGUUUCAUGGUUUUGAAGAGGAUACUCUCCCCAUCUCACUUGUUAAUYCAACUCUUACGACAAAAGAAAUUAAAUAAAGAUAAUUAUUAUACAAAUAAAUAUUAGUUAUAACAUYCCAUUUAAGAAACAAUUAAAUUUGUGAAAUAUGUCACUAAAAUCCAUUAUAGUCACUUAUGUAGUUUGAAGUCUACUCUGCAAAAAAACAAAUACACCAGACUGCAAUUGUGUGGUUGCUACAUUUUAAAGUCGUCACCUCUGAAGCUGCAUUUUGUUCAAGUGUCGAAAUUUUACUAUAAAUUGUGAAUAGUGAAUAAAGUUUGAAAAACCAUGAAAUAC